GCUAAUACCGCAUAAGCGCACGGUUCCGCAUGGAACAGUGUGAAAAACUCCGGUGGUAUACGAUGGAUCCGCGUCUGAUUAGCCAGUUGGCGGGGUAACGGCCCACCAAAGCGACGAUCAGUAGCCGGCCUGAGAGGGUGAACGGCCACAUUGGGACUGAGACACGGCCCAAACUCCUACGGGAGGCAGCAGUGGGGAAUAUUGCACAAUGGGGGAAACCCUGAUGCAGCGACGCCGCGUGAGUGAAGAAGUAUUUCGGUACGUAAAGCUCUAUCAGCAGGGAAGAAAAAAAGUCCUUUGGACUUUGGACGGUACCUGACCAAGAAGCCCCGGCUAACUACGUGCCAGCAGCCGCGGUAAUACGUAGGGGGCAAGCGUUAUCCGGAUUUACUGGGUGUAAAGGGAGCGUAGACGGCGAUGCAAGUCUGAAGUGAAAGGCGGGGGCCCAACCCCCGGACUGCUUUGGAAACUGUAUGGCUGGAGUGCAGGAGAGGUAAGUGGAAUUCCUAGUGUAGCGGUGAAAUGCGUAGAUAUUAGGAGGAACACCAGUGGCGAAGGCGGCUUACUGGACUGUAACUGACGUUGAGGCUCGAAAGCGUGGGGAGCAAACAGGAUUAGAUACCCUGGUAG
rnacentral:rRNA from 1 species